CUGAAAUACAGAUCUGAGAAGGCAAAGCUAGCAGGAAAGGAAGAGGGAUAAGGGCCAUGGGACAAGGAGGGACUGCACUCAGCACACUGUGAAGCCUCUGUGUCUGCACAGAAAUCACUGCAGAGCAUAUCCAAAAGGUCUCAUCUUAAGUACUGGCACUAAGUGUUCCCAGUUGCUAAUUGGAAAAUGAACUUUCUACUGGCUCCUAUAAAGGUGGGGAAAAGCAUAUUUGUGCAGGCUAGGUAGUUUUGUGCUGAGGGAUGAGCAGGCUGAAGUAUGUCCCCAUCUACACCCAAGUGAGCUUCUGAAACAAACGGUCUGUCUGAUGGGAAAAGUGCUCAAAUUCACCUUGAGCUCAUCUCAGAUGCCAUAACCCAAACGUUUCCUUUUAGGUAACCAUUAGAAGGUAUGUAUUUAUUAAAAUUCUGUCAAGCUAGGAUUAGUGAUGCAUUCUUCUCCUACAGAAGCAGGUGAUAUAGACUAACGGGCAAGAUGGCUUUGUCAUCUCCCUCCUGCUGAUAGGUAGCAUCUUACUUGGCACAAAUUAGGUUACUCUCUGUUGGCAUGAAUGUGCACGUUUGGCUGGAGCCAUGUUUCUUUGACAGUCUCUUUUGUAGCUGCCAAAAUUCAGCAAAUCCAAACCCAGCUCCACUUGCUGGACAGAUUAUUUCUGUCAGACAUGUUAAACCCAGUUUAACAUGCAGGCAAAAUGAAUAGUAGUGCUUAAUACUUUUACAGCUGCCUGUGUGCAACCUCACAUUAAUUUGUCUCUAAGGCCAAGCCCAAGGAAGCUGUACCAGUGGGAACAUCCAGAACCCAACGUGACCGCAGUCUGCAGAGAUGCUGCAGAGGAAGGAGGAUGCACAUGCGAGCAAAGGGAUUUCUUGCCUCCAUAACCAGCAAGAGAAUGUCAGCUUGUGCCAAUUCGAGCUAGAGACCAACGGACACAUGAGACCUGCACCAUUUCUUGUGGGAACACACAGCUGACUCCUUCCUGCCAUCUAGGAGUGGACAUGUCCUGCUUCUGAACAAAGGUUCUCGACAAAGGUGGAGACUGAGUGCCUUGCAUGUCACCUACCCUACCGGGCUGGGCUGGCCAGCAUGGCAGCAAAUUGCAUUUCUGCUCCAAGAGACGUAGAAGAUGAUUGCCAGGGAGACCUGCUCUCCACAGCCCUACAGCAAUUCCUCUGGAGGCCUCCUCUCCAAUCGGGGGAUCGUUUCAUAAGGGAUCGAUGGUGAUUGCCAAAACCUCUCUGCCCUGAAGCCAGCAAGGAUUCUCUCCUUUACUUGUCUGGACUCCUGUGAGAUGAUAGAGAACCCACGUGAAUAGCCCUUGGGACCUUCUGCCCAGCCCAGCAUCAGAAGACAGACUUAAAGAGAGAUGGGAACGGAGGUGAUGCACCUGGUGGGCUGCAGUGGUCCAGAAGAGGUAGUGUGUUGGAGCCAAACACCUGCAUGCUAGAAGAGCAGUGUGUUGUCAUUGCCUGGGAGAUGAAUACAGCAGGACAUAGCACCAUGGCCACUGAAGGGGAAUGCAGUGUAGCACUGUUGGACAGGUAAUCCUG
rnacentral:lncRNA from 1 species